AUUUAGCGAGCUGAGUGGGGAGGAGAGAGGGACAGAGAGCCUGCUUGCUUUAAAGGAACCAACCGGACAGGAGCCGCUUAUACUCGUGUAGCGGCUCCUCUCCUCUCCCGCUUUGCUACUUUAAAGAAGCAGGCUCUCUGUCCCUCUCUCCUCCCCACUCAGUGGCUCUUCUC
rnacentral:miRNA from 1 species